rnacentral:ncRNA from 2 species
AAUCACAUUGCCAGGGAUUACCACG